GUUGCUCUCUGGGUGGCGAGUGGGAUGGUCCCUACAUCGGAUCUACUUUUUCGUGGGGGAUAAAGAAAGGAAACUUACGCUAAUACCGCAUACGACCUACGGGUGAAAGCAGGGGAUCUUCGGACCUUGCGCGAUUGAAUGAGCCGAUGUCGGAUUAGCUAGUUGGCGGGGUAAAGGCCCACCAAGGCGACGAUCCGUAGCUGGUCUGAGAGGAUGAUCAGCCACACUGGAACUGAGACACGGCCCACACUCCUACGGGAGG
rnacentral:rRNA from 1 species